AAAACACAAGCUCAAAAGUGAGUAACAGGACCACUAGGGCAAGCCUAGGGUCAAAGGAGAAUGAAAAAGUCAAAACAGCAAAGGGCAAGCAUCCAAAAUCAUGUUCAAACAAUUAAGAAACACAACCAAUUGGGUUCACAUUCAUAUCAAUCACUAUCAUCAUUUCAUAAACAAUUUAGGUCAAGGUAUAGCAAACAGAAG
rnacentral:lncRNA from 1 species